rnacentral:lncRNA from 9 species
UUUUUUUUUUUUUUAUUUUCCCCCAGGGAUUUGGAAUCGUAUAUUCAAAUCAUUUCUGGUAUCCUUAAGACUUUCCAAAACAUAAACCUUUCGUUUUCUCUUGUUGCCAAAUUCAAGAAAAUUUAAUAACUGUUUAGUCCCCUGUUAGAUGAGGGAUUUUCACAUGUUCUCAUUCAUUUGCUUAUGCUAGUCUGAUUAUUUUUAUUAGCUGACUAUUUAAAUGUCAUGUAUCUUGUACUUUAACAUUUUUAAACUUUUUCAAGCAAAUUUAACUCUUCAUUUACAAUACUAUUUAAUAUCUAUAUCUAAGCAUGUACCUGCUUUUUAGGGCUGCACACAUGGCAUAUGGAGGCUCUCAGGCCAUGGGUCAAACUGGAGCUGUAGCCACUGGCCUACACCACAGCCACAGCAACACUGGAUCCGAGCCACAUCUCUGACCUACACCACAGCUCAUGGCAAUGCCAGAUCCUUAACCCACUGAGUGAGGCCAGGGAUCAAACCCAAACCCUCACAGUCACUGGUCGGAUUCAUUUCCACUGCACCACAAUGGGAACACCUCAUCUAUUGAUGGGCACUUAGGUUGCUGUAUUAUCUUGGCUAUUACAAAACAAACAAACAAACAAACAAUGCUUUAAUAAACUGAGUUGCCAAUAUUUUUUCUAAUUAGUGUUUUUGUUUGCUUUGGGUAGAUACCCAGGAGUGGAAUUGUUGGAUAAAAUGGAAUUCUAUUUUUAAUAUUUUGAGUAAUUUCCAUACUGAUUCCAUAGUGGCCUUACCAAUAUACAUUCUCAGCAGCAGUGCACCAGGGUUUCCUUUUCUCCAUAUCCUCACCAACACUUACUAUUUCUUGUCUUUUUGGUAAUAGCCAUUUUGACAGGUGUGAGGCAAUAUCUCACUGAGGUUUUGAUCUGUAUUUCCCUAGUGAUUAGUAACAUUGAACAUCUGUCCAAGUGCGUGUUGGCCAUCUAUAUAUAUAUGUAUGUCUUCUUUGGAACAAUGUCUAUUCAGACCCUCUGCCCAUUUUUUAAUUGGGUUUUGGGUUUUUUUUAUGUUGAGUUGUAUGAGUUCUUCAUAUAUUUUUGGAUAUUAACCCCUUUGGAAUACACGGUUUGAAAAUAUCUUUCCCCAUUCAGUAGGUGGUCUUUUUGUUUUGUUGAUAGUGUCCUUCUCUGUGAAAAUCUUUUCAGUUUGAUGUAGUCCCAUUUGCUUGUUUUUGCCUUUGUUCCCUUGCCUGAGGAGACAUAUCCAAAAGUAUUACUAAGACAAAGGAAACCAUCAACAAAAAGAAAAGACAACCUACUGAAUGGGAGAGAAUAUUUUUAAAUUAUGUGAUUGACAAGGGGUUAAUGUCCAAAGUAUACAAACAGCUCAUAUAACUCAAUAUCAAAAAAAACCCAAACAACCCAAUCAAAAAAUGGGUAGAGGACCUAAAAUAGACAUUUCUUGAAAGAAGACAUACUGAUGGCUAACAGGCACAUGAAAAAAUGUUCAACAUCACUAAUUAUUAGAGAAUGCAAAUCAAAACCACUAAGAGGUAUCACUUUACAUCAAUCAGAAUGGCUAUCAACAAAAAGUCUACAAAUAGGAGUUCUGCUGUGGUGCAGUGGUGAUGCCAGAAAGAUGUUAGUGGAAUCCAGGUUCUUGUUCCUGCAGCUGAAGAAUGAACUUUGCAAACACACAGGCAGCAAGCAAGCAAAGUCUUUAUUACAGGAAAGCAAAUAGCUCCCAGGACAGCUAGGAGGUGGGAAAAGAGCCCAUGUUCCCAUUGUUUUGUAGGGGUUUUUAAUCUCUUAAAGAUGGGAGGAUACCAACCUGGGGUCCAGAAAGAUGUGGUUUUCUCCCAUUGGCCUUGACCAAUUACCUCUAUAGGUCCUUGUCCAAUAGGAGUCUUGGGGUGGAAAUGCCCCGUAAGUCUCAUGGUUUCUUUGCCCUUUUCUUCCCAUAAACUGAGUCACAGGAGGUUAGGGAUUAAUGUCCAUCUGGGUAUAGGUACACUCCCUACAGUAAACAAGGCCUGUGGGGAUGUUACUCCCUGGAGCCCUUAGGCCAUAAAUGUUAAUCAAUAGCCAUAUCAAAGAAUGCAUUGAAGCCCAUACUCCUACACUAACUACUUGAGUUAUUAUUCUGCCUCAGUGGGUUAAGAAUCCAACUGCAGCAACUUGGGCUGCUGUGGAGGUAUGGGUUGGAUCCCUGGCCCUGCAGAGUGGGUUAAGGAUCCAGCAUUGCACAGCUGUGGUGUUAGGUAGCAGUUGUGGCUCAUAUUCAACCCCUGGUCCAGGAACUUCUAUAUGCAGUGGGUUCAGCCAUUUAAAAAAAAAGUCUACAAAUAAUAAAUGCUGGAGGGUGUAGAUAAUGCAGAGAAAACAGAACUCUUCUACUUUGUUAGCAGGAAUCUAAAUUGGUGCAGACAGUAUGGAGAAAAGUACUAUUGCAAAAAAAAUAAAAAUAGAGUUACCAUAUGAUACAGCAAACCCACUUCUGGGCAUAUAUCCAUAAAAUAUGAAAACUGUAUUCAAAAAGAUACAUGCACCCCAAUGAUCAUAGAUCAUAGUAGCACCAUUUACAAUAGUCAAAACAUUGGACGUAAUCUAAAUGUCCAUAGACGGAUGAAUGGAAAAAGAAGAUGAGGUAUAUAUACACAAUGGAAUACUACUCAGCCAUAAAAACAGAAUGAAAUAUUGCUAUUUUCAGCAACAUAGACAAACCAAAGAAUAUUAGCGAAGUAAAUCAGACAAAGACAAAUAUUACAUGAUAUCACUUAUAUGUGGAAUCUAAAAAAAUAAUACAAAUGAAUCUAUUUACAAAACAGAAACAGACUCAUAGACAUAGAAAACAAACUUUUGAUCACCAAAAAGGAAAGAGGUGGUAUGAAGGAAUAAAUUAGGAGUACAGGAUUAAUGGAUAUAAGCUACUAUAGUAAAUAGUCAUUACUAUUACUAUUACUAGCAAUAGUAAUUUGCUGUAUAGUACAGGUAACUACAUUCAGUAUCUUAUAAUAUCCUAUAAUAGAAAAUAAUCUGAAAUAUAUAUAUAUACCUGAAUCACUUUGUGGUACACCUGAAAUUAACAUAAUAUUGUAAAUCAGCUAUAUUUCAAUUUUUUUAAAGUGUGUCUUUUUUAAAGGUUAACCAAAGAACAGUAAAUGGACCUCUACAAAAUGGGCUAUUUCAGGCAAAAUGCCCUCAGUGAUGUUUUGGGUCGGUUGCUCCACCGUGGAGGCUCUGCAUUCUUGACAGCUUCAUCACUGGUUGAGACCUUAUCUAAGGCCAGUGUGUCCUUCAAUGCCCCUUUUACAGGAGACACUGAACUCAUCUGCCAGGUGCAGUGGAUUACCACUCUAUAAAGACUCUAGGCUCCUGACAUCAAAGGAAACUUUCGGUUGCAAUGCUGGUAUUUUAAGAAGAAAAUUCUGAAACCAAAAUGGUCUUUCUCUCUCAGCUUUUACUUUGGAAUUCACCAAAGCCAGACCCAAAGAAUGUGAUGACAUCCUAAAAGGCUGUGAUUAAUUCAUGCUGGUCCCCAAGCCUUUGCCCCUUGGUGCCACAUGGUGAAGCAUUUACCACCACCUGGUUUUGCUCCACAGCCAGACAGCAUUUCCAAGAAUUCCAGUCAUCACUUGACUAGAGAGAUAGGCUUGAGUUCAUGGAGUUUCUCACAGGGAUAUUUUAUGCAAAUGUCUUUUGCCCAUUCCCUCAUUGAGAUUCCCUUUCAUAAACAACACUUCUUACCAAUAGGUUAUUUACCCAUGUAAUUGAUUGCUUGUUUUUUCAAUGAGUUGUUCAGUUGCGGUUUUUAGCUCCAUGUUCCAAUGUUUUUGUACAAGUAGGAGGCUAAGGUGGCAGGAAAUGGGAGCUCCCCAGAGGAGAAGUAACUGUGAUAAAUGAGAUUAUGUCAGGUUAUUUACAUACAGGAAACAAUACCAGCAAAGGAAUGAGGCAUAUCCUCAAGGUUUGCAAGUUGUAUUAAAUCAGUAGUGCUGAAUUUUUUUGACAAAUAAAACGUUUUGAAACAUGAUGAUUAUUAUCUUUGGUUUAAAAAUAAUCACUAUAAAUGAGAAAAACUUGAUUUCAAUUGUUUAAAGAUUAUACAUAAUUAAAUGUGAGUUUUUCUGCAAGGAAGCAGAGUAGCUUUGCACAACAGGGCCCAAAUCAGAUUACAGGAUUUUCAUUAGAGUCUGGAAAAUAAGAAUAUAUUUGAUCAGUGCUAGAGUGAUGAAAGACUAUAGCAAAGCAAAAGAGCAUUAUGUCAAACUUUCUCCAAAGAAAAGGAGUCAUAUUUCUGGGAUUACUCAUUUCUGAAUGGCCCUGUCUGGCCUCAGUUGUCUGUAAAAUGAGAAGUCAGGCCUGAGAAGAUGGGGUGUCUGCUCAGGACCUCAGACCCUCAGCUACUGAAGCAUGGCCAGGAUGCUGAGAACCUGCUGUGCAGUAGAGAAGCCUGGACAAACUUGACCUGACCCUGGAUUUCACUACAUGGCAAGAUCAUGUCACCCCAACUCCACAGAAGACUUCAAGUUUCCCCAGGGUGACUACAUCUGCUCCAUACUAACUGGGGCAAAGUACCAUCCUUGAACUCUGACUGCAGGAAAAAUCCAGAGUUCUAGGAUUAAGCCUCAUCGAACUGUGCUGAAUCUGGGUCUUUGAUAAGGAAAGAGGCAUUGUUACAAACCCCAAAUAUAACUGGCGAAGAAUAGACACAUCACCCAAAACCAUGACAAAAGGCAUUAAGCCCAGGGCUCAUCUCCUCUUGACCUAUAUAUACUGAUGACCUCAUUCAAUAAGAAUCUUUAUCUGAGUAAACCUGCAGAUCAUCCUGGAAUUGGCGAGUCAUUUGUCCUUAUCAUUAUUUAGACUCCAGGGAGUUCCCAUCAUGGCACAGCAGACACUAAUCCAACCAGGGACCACGAGGUUGUGGGUUCGAUCCCUGGCCUCGCUCUGUGGGUCAAGGAUCUGGUGUUGCUGUGAGCUGUGGUGUAAGUUGCAAAUGCAGCUCGGAACUGGCAUUGCUGUGGCUGUGGUGUAGGCC